rnacentral:rRNA from 1 species
CCUACGGGUGGCUGCAGUGAGGAAUAUUGCGCAAUGGGGGCAACCCUGACGCAGCGACGCCGCGUGAGUGAGGAAGGCCUUCGGGUCGUAAAGCUCUGUCAAAGGGAAAGAAGUGCAUGGAGGUUAAUACCCUUCAUGUUUGACGGUACCCUUAAAGGAAGCACCGGCUAACUCCGUGCCAGCAGCCGCGGUAAUACGGAGGGUGCAAGCGUUGUUCGGGAUCACUGGGCGUAAAGGAUACGUCGGCUGUGAAAGCCCACGGCUUAACCGUGGAAGUGCAUUUGAAACUGUCAGACUUGAGUACCAGAGGGGAAAGUGGAAUUCCCGGUGUAGAGGUGAAAUUCGUAGAUAUCGGGAGGAAUACCGGUGGCGAAGGCGACUUUCUGGCUGGAUACUGACGCUGAGGCGCGAAAGCGUGGGGAGCAAACAGGAUUAGAUACCCCAGUAGUC